UAACACUAACAACUAACAAACUGAAAACCACUCGCCACACAGUACUCGCUACUACUACCACAAAAAAUCCCCCACCAUGGACGAAGACGAUACCAUUACCACCACCACCACCACCACCACCAACUUGGUAGUACCAAACCCGCAGGCCCAAACCCAGACACGCCGGCCACGUGGAUUCGCCGCAGUAGCGGCCGGAGGCGCGUCGGGAAACAAGGGAAAAAAGGAGAGGGAGAAGGAGAAAGAGAGAACGAAGCUCAGAGAGCGACACCGCCGCGCCAUUACAAGCCGCAUGCUUGCCGGUCUCAGGCAGUACGGUAAUUUCCCGCUCCCGGCGCGUGCCGACAUGAACGACGUGCUCGCCGCGCUGGCGCGUGAGGCCGGGUGGGUCGUCGAGGCCGACGGGACCACGUAUCGACAAUCGCCGCCCACGCCCGCACCCGCACCCGCUCCUUCCCAAUCCCAAUUGCCGCAAUUGGCAGCAGCAUUUCCAGUUGAGAGUCCACUAUCUGCUUCUGCUGCGGCUAUGAGUUUGACACAUUGUUCUGUCAAACAAACAACAAUAGAGUGUUCACCGUCGCUUCUUGGAAUUGAUGACAGCUUGUCACCAGCUUCUCUUGAUUCAUCUGUUGUAAUAGGAGAGAGAGACAGAGAGAUGGAUACCAAAUAUACCACUGUAGCCUCAGCCUCUGUAAGCCCCAUCAAUUCGACUUCGGUCCAAUGCGGUAUAGAGCUUAUUCAAGAUAUUCAUUCUGGGGAGCAUGGGAAUGGUUUUACAAGCACUCCAUAUGUCCCUGUUUAUGUAAAGCUUCCGACUGGUGUUAUCAACAAUUUCUGCCAGUUGAUUGAUCCUGAAGGUGUUAGACAGGAGCUUAGUCAUUUGAAGUCUUUAAAUGUAGAUGGUGUUGUUAUUGAUUGUUGGUGGGGUAUUGUUGAAGGCUGGAGUCCACAGAAAUACGUAUGGUCUGGCUAUAGGGAACUCUUUAACAUCAUCCAGGAAUUCAAGCUGAAUUUGCAGGUUGUGAUGGCAUUUCAUGAGUAUGGAGGAAAUGACUCUGGUGACACGUUGAUUGCCCUUCCACAAUGGGUUAUGGAGAUUGGAAAAGACAACCCGGAUAUAUUCUUCACAGAUCGUGAAGGUAGGAGGAAUCCUGAAUGUCUGUCAUGGGGCAUUGAUAAAGAACGAGUUCUAAAAGGAAGAACUGCCAUUGAGGUCUAUUUUGAUUUCAUGAGAAGCUUCCGGACAGAAUUUGAUGACUUGUUUGCAGAGGGUCAAAUUUCUUCUGUAGAGAUCGGACUCGGGGCAUCUGGGGAGCUGAAGUAUCCUUCUUCUUCUGAAAGGAUGGGAUGGAGGUAUCCUGGUAUUGGUGAAUUUCAGUGCUAUGAUAAGUAUCUACAACAAAGUCUGUGCAGAGCAUCUAAAUUGCGGGGGCACUCAUUCUGGGGUAAGUGUCCUGAUAAUGCCGGUCAAUACAAUUCUAGGCCACAUGAAACUGGGUUCUUUUGCGAACGAGGUGAUUAUGAUAGCUACUAUGGCCGCUUUUUCCUCCAUUGGUAUGCACAGACAUUAAUAGACCAUGCAGAUAACGUUUUGUCUCUUGCAAGCCUUGCAUUUGAUGAAAUAAAAAUAAUUAUUAAGGUUCCUGCAAUUCAUUGGUGGUACAAGACUGCUAGCCAUGCCGCGGAAUUAACAGCAGGAUUCUAUAACCCUACAAACCAAAAUGGAUACUCUCCAGUUUUUGAGGUCCUGAGAAAACACUCGGUGACAUUGAAGUUUGUUUGCUUGAGAUUGCAAGUUUCUGGUCUGGAAAAUGAUGAAGCAUUGGCUGACCCAGAAGGUUUAAGUCGGCAGGUUUUGAACUCGGCCUGGGAUCGAGGAUUGACUGUAGCUGGUGAGAAUGCUCUUUCAUGUUAUGAGAGAGAAGGAUACAUGAGAAUUGUUGAGAUGGCCAAGCCAAACAGUGAUCCUGAUCGCCGCCAUUUUUCAUUCUUUGUUUACCAACAGCCAACCCCUUUGGUUCAAGGAACAAUUUGCUUCUCAGAGUUGGAUUACUUCAUUAAAUCCAUGCAUGGACAUCCUUGAAGAUUUGAAAAUUUCCCCUUAAAGAGUUAAUGCCAGCUGAGUAUUAGAGAGGGGGGGGAGUAGAUUUCUUUACAUGAAGCAAUUUCUUUUAACCUAUGACACCAAAGUAUGUCAUGGUGAGAUUGCAGGUGAUCUGGUACCAUGAUAAUGUGUGGAUCCUUUUUUUCCUUAUGAAUGAUACUAUUAAAACAAGCUGGUUUCAACUUGAGGCCAUUUAAGGGGACGAGUGGCAUGUAGGCUACUGAUUUUAUGGUUGCUUAAACAACCCGUGCAGUCUAAUUACCUGGUGUCUUAGAUUAUUCUAUAUUAUAAUUAGAAUUAUGUCUCCGCUUGCUAAGGCAAGGGCUGAGGUAAAUGGGUGUUUAAAAAGUCAGACGUCAAAAGAAUUUUAUGUUCACUAAUUCCAGACAUUGUACAUAAAUUAUGUUAAUUACUUGGGAAGUUUCAUGUAUUCAUAUGAGCAACCACAGUCAAGAAGGCAUUGUUGAUAAGGCCUAGUUGAUGAUGUAUUAGCACUUGAAGUGGCAAAAGUUAGUGAUUUAAUAGUAAAUUCUUGCAACUGCAAUCUUCAAUUGACAAGGCUCACUGAAUACUUGGAAGCAAGCUGGGUCUAGCCAUCUAGAGACGGGUUGUCUGCUUAACCCAAAUAGAAUUACGCCAUCAGUGUAAAAGGAGUUCCAUGGACAACGAAGAUUUGAGUACAAAAAACAGUUCUGCUGCAAGUGAUUGCUGGGUAAUCUCCCUAGGAAUAAAACCAAAAAAGCCUAGGUCUUGGCAGUGAUCCUUGUUGGUUGAGUUUGCCAGUGAAUGGCCUUGGGCCUCUCAUUAUGGUGUUGGGUCGAAUUGGGUGCUUUAGUUCCAAGCAGUGGCAACAGGACCAACUAAUGGUUGAUUCUUGUGACUAGACUUGAUGCUACACCUGCGAUGGCCUCGUUCACUUCCUCAUUGUGUCUUCCUCACAUGAUAUCAUUGUAAGCAUUUUUUCCUCCUCUGUGUGAUGGAUUUUGGACGGUGGUGGUGGGAUGGGGAAAUGAAGCGGGCAGGCGUCUUUAUAGACGAAACUUGGCUCUAAUACCACCAUCGGUCCCUUGUGUAUGGCAGUCUUGUUUAAAGUAGUGAUCAUUUAUGGCCAGACUUGUGUCUUUGCGAGGCCAAUGAUGGUGUCAGAGCUGAAUGCAAAUGAAAGUACUAUACUACUAUUAUUUAUAGGCAAACAUGCACUCCUUGAGAAUAGACAUAUUCGUAAUAGACGUAUUCAUUUAAGGAACAAGUUUAUCUAAUUCAAGAGUUUCAACCUUACCCAAAAA